rnacentral:rRNA from 1 species
UGCAAGUCGCACGGGUGGGUUUCGGCCCAUUAGUGGCGGACGGGUGAGUAUCGCGUAGGGAUUUAUCGUUGGGUGGGGGACAACCUUGGGAAACUGGGGCUAAUACCGCAUGACGCCUGUGGGCCAAAGCUGAGGCGCCUGACGAGAAGCCUGCGUCCGAUUAGCUAGUUGGUUGGGUAAUGGCUGACCAAGGCAUCGAUCGGUAGCUGGUCUGAGAGGAUGAUCAGCCACACUGGGACUGAGACACGGCCCAGACUCCUACGGGAGGCAGCAGUGGGGAAUAUUGGACAAUGGGCGCCAGCCUGAUCCAGCAAUGCCGCGUGGAUGAAGAAGGUUUUCGGAUUGUAAAGUCCUUUCGGCGGGGACGAUGACGACGGUACCCGCAGAAGAAGCCCCGGCUAACUUCGUGCCAGCAGCCGCGGUAAUACGAAGGGGGCUAGCGUUGCUCGGAAUGACUGGGCGUAAAGGGCGCGUAGGCGGACUGAUUUGUCGGGCGUGAAAGUCCAGGGCUCAACCUUGGGUGUGCG